CACUGAUGGAAUUCGGGUGGCUUCUCACAGCGCUUGAUUUCGGGGACUACUUGUGUUUCUGAAAAGGAGCAGGAGCAGGAUUCUCAGCCUUAGUGCACCUUUCACCACAGCACGACCCAUUUCUUUCUGGAUUAUUGGAAUGGAAGGAAAAAAGUGUGAGUCCUUCUCUGCCUCACUGACCUCCACAGUCACGUUCACGGUGGCCUCCCCGGGUCUGCACGAACA